AUGUUUUUAGAUAACACAUGCGGGGUUUCUAAACUCGCCCACACAGUUCCUAGCAGCAACAACAUCCAACGUAGAUAUCUUAUAAUACUUAUGAUAUAUAAAUUAUUACAAGCAUGGCAGAUAUGCAGAGCUUUCUCAAAGUUUAAAGGAUUUAGUGCACGAGAAACAGUCAGCUUUCUAGAUUGUUUUUUUAUGAGAGCUUCGGAUGAUUAUUUCCCGCGUGAUAUUGCUUCUCACAUGAUCCAUAUUUCUUCUAUUGCAUACAAUUCCUUGUUGAAACCGGAUUGA